CGAGCAGGAUUUGGGGAGGCCUAAAAAGUGUGGACCCAUCAGGAGAGGAGUGAUGCAAGACGGAGCCCCCUUAAUCAUCCUCCCUCUUGUUCUCCUACUCACCUCACUCUCCAACUCGGCUGUUAAAGGCUCUCCACCCGCUGGAUGAUCUCCCGAAUGCGGCUCAAGAAUCCGGCCCGCUCCGAAGGCAGAAUGAACUCGUUAUACACCUGGCGAAGGCCCAGCCCCCUUCACUCCCGGUUCCAUAGCAACGACCCUGAAUCCGCCUCUCUCUCCAGCCCUGCCCGGUUCCAUAGCGACGACCCUGAAUCCACCUCUCUCUCCAGCCCUGCCUGGACACAUCCUGCUUCUGUGAGAAUCUUAUCCUGACUGUCCAUCACUCAAGCUCACCAUGACCUCUAGAAAGGCCCACCGUCAUUCCCAACUUCUCCUCUCCUUUGACGGUCUACUCCCAAUAGUUCCUCCAAACUAAAAGUCACCCUUGAUACCCUGUCUCCCUAACACCCUAUCGUAUCAGCUCGGCAAAUAUUUAUUCAACAUCUGCACUGUGUAUUGUGCUCUGUCAAUGAAUAACUGUGUCACAGAGGACCUUAUUUUCCCGAUGCCCCCUUCGUCCUCCCACAUAACCUAUUCCAGGCGUCCACACCUGGCUCUCUGUGCCCACCUGCUGCCGGGACCCCCUCCCGCCGGCCCACUCGCACAUCCCAGCACAGGCUGGUUUUCUUAAAACCUCCUCCCACUGUAUUACACUCUGCCAACUCUCUCUCUCUUUUCAUUUUAAGAAACUGGAUUUUUUAAAAUGUAUUGAUUUUUAGAGAGAGAGAGAGGAAAGGAGACACAUCAAUUUGUUGUUCCUCCCAUG